ACACACCGCCCGUCACACCAUGGGAGUGGGUUGCAAAAGAAGUAGGUAGCUUAACCUUCGGGAGGGCGCUUACCACUUUGUGAUUCAUGACUGGGGUGAAGUCGUAACAAGGUAACCGUAGGGGAACCUGCGGUUGGAUCACCUCCUUA
rfam:Serratia symbiotica genome assembly, type strain CWBI-2.3T, contig: SYMBAF_Contig_11